AGAGCGAACGCUGGCGGCAGGCCUAACACAUGCAAGUCGAACGAACUCUUCGGAGUUAGUGGCGGACGGGUGAGUAACACGUGGGAACGUGCCUUUAGGUUCGGAAUAACUCAGGGAAACUUGUGCUAAUACCGAAUGUGCCCUUCGGGGGAAAGAUUUAUCGCCUUUAGAGCGGCCCGCGUCUGAUUAGCUAGUUGGUGAGGUAAAGGCUCACCAAGGCGACGAUCAGUAGCUGGUCUGAGAGGAUGAUCAGCCACAUUGGGACUGAGACACGGCCCAAACUCCUACGGGAGGCAGCAGUGGGGAAUCUUGCGCAAUGGGCGAAAGCCUGACGCAGCCAUGCCGCGUGAAUGAUGAAGGUCUUAGGAUUGUAAAAUUCUUUCACCGGGGACGAUAAUGACGGUACCCGGAGAAGAAGCCCCGGCUAACUUCGUGCCAGCAGCCGCGGUAAUACGAAGGGGGCUAGCGUUGCUCGGAAUUACUGGGCGUAAAGGGAGCGUAGGCGGACAUUUAAGUCAGGGGUGAAAUCCCGGGGCUCAACCUCGGAAUUGCCUUUGAUACUGGGUGUCUUGAGUAUGAGAGAGGUGUGUGGAACUCCGAGUGUAGAGGUGAAAUUCGUAGAUAUUCGGAAGAACACCAGUGGCGAAGGCGACACACUGGCUCAUUACUGACGCUGAGGCUCGAAAGCGUGGGGAGCAAACAGGAUUAGAUACCCUGGUAGUCCACGCCGUAAACGAUGAUUGCUAGUUGUCGGGAUGCAUGCAUUUCGGUGACGCAGCUAACG
rnacentral:rRNA from 2 species